CUACUCCUCUUCCGGGCACACUGGAGAAUUACACUUCCUUGCUGACUUGAGAUAAGUCACAGCUUUGGCCAAUGAAGUGUGAAUGGAAGUUUUCAGAACCUUUAAGAGCCUGUACGCAAUUUGCCAUGCUUUCUCUUUUUGCUUUGUCACCAAAACCUCUGCGUUCCAGAUAGUGACUACUCUGUCUGCGUGGGUCCUGGAGAGAGGAGGAUGCAGAGCACAGCACUUAGCCAACCUGCAAUGGACACGUAGAAUCCUCCUUACUGUCUUGUGUUCAAUGCUGAAGACCUGGUGUCCAUGCCUAACAUAACCUGAAGGUGCCUCUUGAAUGGAUCACAUUUGGCUUUCCUUAUGUCCUUGCUCACUAUCAUGGCUACCACGAGAGCCAAGGCAACCCACAGAGAUGGACUUGAAGUGAGAAAUCUACUCUGACCUUUGCCAGAACAUCCAGCUCAGAUUUUGGCCUAGGAAAAACGAAUUCCUUAUUUAUUAACGCCACUGUUGGAUUGUGGCUGGCAAGAUGACUGAAUAGGAACAGCUCCGGUCUGUAGCUCCCAGCGAGAUCAACGCAGAAGAAACCUCAAGAAAGGCUCUGGCCUAGACUUUCCCCUUGUUCCUGUCUUCUGGCUCUUGACUGACACUGGUGCUUUCCCCCUGUGGUCCUGCAUGGUGUGUGGUGACUACCUCAUUGGGCCCUAAAACUUCUAAAAUCAUCAGGAGAUAUCACUGAAAAGGUUUCAAAACAAAGCCAUAAUCUCUAGAAAUGUGUCCUUGAUGGGUUGGUCUUCAUUUGCCUGAAGACUGAUCAUUCUAAGGAGGAUUUUGUGCUGCUCUUGUUUUGCUGCUGGGCCUAUCCUGUUUCCAUUCCCAAAUCAAGUAUUCCUGGAAUUUAAGGUAUCACUUUACCAGCCUGACCACAAGUUCCCCAUUGUUUCCUCUGCUCUGCUCAUGCCCUGGAAUAAUGCCUCUCCCUGGAUACUAAAUUUACUGACCCUGCCUAGGACCCAGAGAAGAUUGAUGAGUCCUCAGCCUGUGCAUGUCUUCAAAAAGCCACCAACUGAUAGCUACAAAACUGCACUUCCUAGAGACAUGUUGAGAGAGGUUCAAGGCUCAACAGAACUUACCCUUUUGCUGUCAGAGCUCCACCACCAGAUAAGCACAACUGAGCGAAUGACACCAACCAGUGCCAAGAGAAGCAGGACUACCCAACUACACUUUGCCUAAAUUCCUGAUUCACAGAAUUAUAAGCAAAUAAAAUGAUUGUUUAAAGCACUAAGUUUUGGGUUCAUU